GGAAUUUUCCGCAAUGGGCGCAAGUCUGACGGAGCAACGCCGCGUGUGUGAAGAAGGUCUUCGGAUCGUAAAGCACUGUUGUUAGAGAAGAGCGAGACGGUAUCUAACCAGGAAGCCACGGCUAACUACGUGCCAGCAGCCGCGGUAAUACGGGAGUGGCAAGCGUUAUCCGGAAUUAUUGGGCGUAAAGCGUCCGCAGGCGGCCCUUCAAGUCUGCUGUUAAAAAGUGGAACUUAACUCCAUCGUGGCAGUGGAAACUGUUGGGCUUGAGUGUGGUAGGGGCAGAGGGAAUUCCCGGUGUAGCGGUGAAAUGCGUAGAUAUCGGGAAGGACACCAGUGGCGAAGGCGCUCUGCUGGGCCAUCACUGACGCUCAUGGACGAAAGCCAGGGGAGCGAAAGGGAUUAGAUACCCCAGUAGUC
rnacentral:rRNA from 1 species